rnacentral:rRNA from 1 species
CCUACGGGCGGCAGCAGUGAGGAAUAUUGGUCAAUGGCCGGAAGGCUGAACCAGCCAUGCCGCGUGAAGGUCAGUGCCCUAUGGGCGUUAAACUUCUUUUGUGCGGGAGCAAUAAUGGUCACGUGUGGCCAGACGAGAGUACCGUACGAAUAAGCAUCGGCUAACUCCGUGCCAGCAGCCGCGGUAAUACGGGGGAGGCAAGCGUUAUCCGGAUUUAUUGGGUUUAAAGGGUGCGUAGGCUGGGAGGUAAUUCAGCGGUGAAAUGCCCCCGCUCAACGGGGUGAAGUGCCAUUGAUACUGCCUGGCUGGAAUGCGGAUGCCGUGGGAGGAAUGUGUGGUGUAGCGGUGAAAUGCAUAGAUAUCACACAGAACACCGAUUGCGAAGGCAUCUCACGAAUCCGCGAUUGACGCUGAUGCACGAAAGCGUGGGUAUCAAACAGGAUUAGAUACCCGAGUAGUC